GCUAAAAGACAGUACUGCACCUUCAUUAGCAUCAAAAUAACAUAACUUAAUGAUAAUUACAUAUGGAUGUCAUUAUGUUACUUGUUUUAAUUUUUUAUUUAUUGCCAAUGUUAUUACAACUAUCACUGCCCAAUUACCGCAACUAUUAACUUGUCACCACUACCACAACCACCACUUGACCACCGCUAUCACUAUUUAGCCACUGUCAUGCUAUACUACCUAG
rnacentral:misc_RNA from 1 species